CGGCGGGCGGAAGCGGAAGUGCGGCCUGAGUUUGGGUUAGGCGGGUUUUUCCUCGGCGUCUCUAGCCGACAGCUGUACUAGACAUGGACUGUUACACUGCGAACUGGAAUCCACUCGGGGACUCUGCCUUUUACCGGAAGUAUGAACUGUACAGCAUGGACUGGGACCUGAAGGAGGAGCUCAAGGAUUGUCUGGUGGCUGCUGCACCCUAUGGGGGCCCCAUUGCUCUACUGAGGAACUGCUGGAGAAAAGAGAAAGCUGCCAGUGUGCGGCCAGUACUGGAGAUGUACUCUGCUUCUGGCAUGCCCCUGGCUAGCCUGCUGUGGAAGAGUGGGCCUGUGGUGGCCCUCGGCUGGUCAGCCGAGGAGGAGCUGCUCUGUGUGCAGGAAGAUGGUGCAGUGCUAGUUUAUGGGCUUCAUGGAGACUUCCGGAGGCACUUCAGCAUGGGCAAUGAAGUGCUUCAGAACCGUGUCUUGGAUGCUCGGAUUUUUCACACUGAGUUUGGUUCUGGGGUGGCCAUCCUUACCGGAGCCUAUCGAUUUACUCUGAGUGCUAAUGUGGGUGACCUCAAACUCCGUCGGAUGCCAGAGGUGCCAGGUCUGCAGAGUGCACCCUCCUGCUGGACCACACUGUGCCACGAGCGAGUAGCACACAUUCUUCUGGCUGUAGGACCUGAUCUUUACCUUCUGGAUCAUGCUACCUGCUCUGCAGUGACACCUGCUGGUCUAGCUCCAGGAGUGAGCAGCUUCCUACAGAUGGCUGUAUCCUUCACGUACCGUUACCUGGCACUCUUCACAGACACAGGCUACAUCUGGAUGGGGACAGCAUCACUCAAGGAGAAGCUGUGUGAGUUCAACUGCAACAUCCGGGCACCCCCGAAGCAGAUGGUCUGGUGUAGCCGUCCUCGAAGCAAGGAAAAGGCUGUUGUUGUAGCCUGGGAAAGGCGGCUGAUGGUGGUGGGCAAUGCGCCUGAAAGCAUUCAGUUUGUGCUUGAUGAGGACUCCUACUUAGUGCCUGAGCUUGAUGGGGUCCGCAUCUUCUCUCGAAGUACCCAUGAAUUCCUGCAUGAAGUCCCAGUGGCCAGUGAAGAGAUCUUCAAAAUUGCCUCAAUGGCCCCUGGAGCACUGCUGUUGGAGGCACAGAAGGAGUAUGAGAAAGAGAGCCAAAAAGCAGAUGAAUAUCUGCGGGAGAUCCAGGAACUGGGGCAGCUGAUCCAGGCUGUGCAGCAGUGCAUUGAGGCUGCAGGACAUGAGCACCAACCAGACAUGCAAAAGCGUCUGCUCAGGGCGGCUUCGUUUGGAAAGUGUUUCCUUGACAGAUUUCCGCCUGACAGCUUCGUGCACAUGUGUCAGGACCUUCGAGUGCUCAAUGCUAUUAGGGACUACCACAUUGGGAUCCCUCUGACCUAUACCCAAUACAAGCAGCUUACCAUCCAGGUGCUGCUCGACAGGCUCGUGUUGCGGAGGCUUUAUCCCCUGGCUAUCCAGAUAUGCGAGUACCUGCGCCUUCCUGAAGUACAGGGCGUCAGCAGGAUCCUAGCCCACUGGGCCUGCUACAAGGUGCAGCAGAAAGAUGUCUCAGAUGAGGACGUAGCACGGGCUAUUAAUCAGAAGCUGGGUGACACGCCUGGUGUUUCAUACUCUGACAUUGCUGCAAGGGCCUAUGGCUGUGGCCGCGCUGAACUGGCCAUUAAGCUGCUGGAGUAUGAGCCACGGUCAGGGGAACAGGUACCUCUUCUCCUGAAGAUGAAGAGGAGCAAACUAGCUCUGAGCAAGGCCAUUGAGAGUGGAGACACUGACCUGGUGUUUACAGUGCUGCUGCACCUGAAGAAUGAACUCAACCGAGGAGACUUUUUCAUGACUCUGCGGAACCAACCCAUGGCCCUGAGUUUGUAUCGACAGUUCUGUAAGCAUCAGGAACUAGACACUCUGAAGGACCUUUACAAUCAGGACGACAAUCACCAGGAAUUGGGCAGCUUCCACAUCAGAGCCAGCUAUGCUGCGGAAGAGCGUAUUGAAGGGCGAGUGGCAGCUCUGCAAACGGCAGCUGACGCCUUCUACAAAGCCAAGAAUGAAUUUGCAGCCAAGGCUACAGAGGAUCAAAUGAGGCUCCUGCGGCUACAGCGACGCCUGGAGGAUGAGCUAGGGGGCAGGUUCCUAGACCUAUCUCUACAUGACACAGUCACCACGCUUAUCCUCGGAGGACACAACAAGCGGGCAGAGCAGCUGGCACGUGACUUUCGCAUCCCUGACAAGAGGCUCUGGUGGUUAAAGCUGUCUGCCCUGGCAGAUCUGGAAGAGUGGGAGGAGCUGGAGAAGUUUUCUAAGAGCAAGAAAUCACCAAUUGGCUACCUGGUGGGAAGGGGACUAGAUAUACUGACUGUACAAAAUACCUAUGGGCAAGUGUCCCCUGGGCUUCUGCUCCUGAGAGAGGAAAUAGGCCUAGGCUUGUCUUCUCUGUCUUGCAAAGCCCUUUGUAGAGAUCUGCAUGAAGCAACAUAACAAACAUGAGGCCAAGAAGUAUGCUUCCAGAGUGGGCCCUGAGCAAAAGGUCAAGGCUUUGCUUCUUGUCGGGGAUGUGGCUCAGGCUGCAGAUGUGGCUAUUGAGCACCGGAAUGAA